UGCUAGUUGUACGAGUUCAGACUCGUAGCGAAUAGCUCAGUAACACGUGGCCAAACUACCCUUCGGAGCACGAUACCCUCGGGAAACUGAGGCUAAUAGUGCAUACCACACUCACCCUGGAAUGGCGAGUGUGCCAAACGCUCCGGCGCCGAAGGACGUGGCUGCGGCCGAUUAGGUAGACGGUGGGGUAACGGCCCACCGUGCCGAUAAUCGGUACGGGUGGUGAGAGCCAGAACCCGGAGACGGAAUCUGAGACAAGAUUCCGGGCCCUACGGGGCGCAGCAGGCGCGAAACCUUUACACUGCACGACAGUGCGAUAAGGGGAUCCCAAGUGCGUAGGCAUAGAGCCUACGCUUUUGUACACCGUAGGGAGGUGUACGAAUAAGGGCUGGGCAAGACCGGUGCCAGCCGCCGCGGUAAUACCGGCAGCCCGAGUGACGGCCGAUCUUAUUGGGCCUAAAGCGUCCGUAGCUGGCCGCACAAGUCCAUCGGAAAAUCCACCCGCUCAACGGGUGGGCGUCCGGUGGAAACUGUGUGGCUUGGGACCGGAAGGCGCGACGGGUACGUCCGGGGUAGGAGUGAAAUCCCGUAAUCCUGGACGGACCGCCGAUGGCGAAAGCACGUCGCGAGAACGGAUCCGACAGUGAGGGACGAAAGCUAGGGUCUCGAACCGGAUUAGAUACCCGGGUAGUCCUAGCCGUAAACGAUGCCUGUUAGGUGUGGCUCCCACUACGAGUGGGUGCUGUGCCGUA
rnacentral:rRNA from 1 species